UGCAGUGUGAGUGUGUUCGUAGGGAAACUGCAGUGUGUGUGUGUUCGUAGGGAAACUGCAGUGUGUGUGUGAUCGUAGGGAAACUGCAGUGUGUGUGUGUUCGUAGGGAAACUGCAGUGUGUGUGUGUUCGUAGGGAAACUGCAGUGUGUGUGUGAUCGUAGGGAAACUCCAGUGUGUGUGUUCGUAGGGAAACUGCAGUGUGUGUGUGUUCGUAGGGAAACUGCUGUGUGUGUGUGUUCGUAGGGAAACUGCAGUGUGUGUGUGUUCGUAGGGAAACUGCAGUGUGUGUGUGUUCGUAGGGAAACUGCAGUGUGUGUGUGUUCGUAGGGAAACUGCAGCAGUGUUAUUUGCCAUCAAUUAGUCGGCUAGGCUGUGCCGAAACCUACAGUAGUCGCUGUCUUGGCCAGAGUGUAUCAAACCUCCCUCUCUCCCUUCAGUCCUUGCAUUCUUCCACACCAUAUAUUCAUUUUCCCCUUUCAUGCUCUUCAUGUGCCACUUUACAUUAUUUCCCUCCCUCACUCUCUUCAUCCAUCUCUCAUUUUCUCCCUCUCUUACCCUCUACCUCACAUUUCUCUGUCUUUAUUAAAAAACAGUAGAGUAGUUAGCUGUUUGUGUUGUGAUUUUUUCAUUAAACUUCACUGAGUUUUUGUUUGUCAGUUUUUUCAUGGUCGUUGUGGAUAUUCAGUAAGCUCAUUUUAUGAUCAUAUUUCUGCUCUUUUGAUUCAAUUUAGACAUUUGAGUAUUAUAGCAGUCGGCCGCUGUGCGGGGAUGGUUUCCUCAUUGAACAAAAACAACUUUUUGUGUGACUUGGAGGUGAGUAGCGCACAUCUGGAGCACGGCAGGGUCUCUGGGAGUCAGAACAGGUCGCUUUUGUGAAAAAUAGGAUGUGAAAAAAACAUUGAAACGCUCAGGGUUUUAAAACAUUACAGCAUAUUUUGAAGUUCUUUUGGAGUUUGUGAGUUUUUUAUUGUGUUGGCUCUGAACGCGGCCUUUCCUUUCUUUAAUGGGCAGUCUGGGCCAUGAGAGGCCUGCUGCAGCCGUUUUAAACCUCAGCUCUCGAACGCAGCGCUUUAUAUUGCGGAAACAUUACAUUAAAUAGCUGAAUCGGACGGCUGGACAGCUCAGGGUAAUCUGCCCAGUUUGGGGUAUGAGCAAGUAGUUUUAGUACAGUUAUUAUAUAGGUAUAUAUUUAGUCUGCCCAGCCUAGGUUCUGAGUGAAAACAAAUGUGUGGAGGAGAGAAGCUGGGAUUGGAGAAGUCAGGAAAAGACUAAUUAAAACCCGAAAGAAAGCGAGAGAGGUAAAGAGAGAGGUGGAGAAACGGAGGAGUGAAGUCCGGUCAGAGUGGAGUUUAUUUGUAACCCACUGUGAAAUUGGCCCCCGUUUAGCAGGCUUUACCCAAGUAAUAAGAGGAGUUAGGUCUCGUCAGUGUAAAGUUGGCCCGUUUAGAAGGCUUUACCCAAGUAAUAAGAGGAGUUAGGUCUGGUCAGUGUAAAGUUGGCCUGUUUAGAAGGCUUUACCCAAGUAAUAAGAGGAGUUAGGUCUGGUCAGUGUAAAGUUGGCCCGUUUAGAAGGCUUUACCCAAGUAAUAAGAGGAGUUAGGUCUGGUCAGUGUAAAGUUGGCCUGUUUAGAAGGCUUUACCCAAGUAAUAAGAGGAGUUAGGUCUGGUCAGUGUAAAGUUGGCCUGUUUAGAAGGCUUUACCCAAGUAAUAAGAGGAGUUAGGUCUGGUCAGUGUAAAGUUGGCCCGUUUAGAAGGCUUUACCCAAGUAAUAAGAGGAGUUAGGUCUGGUCAGUGUAAAGUUGGCCCGUUUAGAAGGCUUUACCCAAGUAAUAAGAGGAGUUAGGUCUGGUCAGUGUAAAGUUGGCCCGUUUAGAAGGCUUUACCCAAGUAAUAAGAGGAGUUAGGUCUGGUCAGUGUAAAGUUGGCCCGUUUAGAAGGCUUUACCCAAGUAAUAAGAGGAGUUAGGUCUGGUCAGUGUAAAGUUGGCCUGUUUAGAAGGCUUUACCCAAGUAAUAAGAGGAGUUAGGUCUGGUCAGUGUAAAGUUGGCCCGUUUAGAAGGCUUUACCCAAGUAAUAAGAGGUGUUAGGUCUGGUCAGUGUAAAGUUGGCCCGUUUAGAAGGCUUUACCCAAGUAAUAAGAGGAGUUAGGUCUGGUCAGUGUAAAGUUGGCCCGUUUAGAAGGCUUUACCCAAGUAAUAAGAGGAGUUAGGUCUGGUCAGUGUAAAGUUGGCCCGUUUAGAAGGCUUUACCCAAGUAAUAAGAGGAGUUAGGUCUGGUCAGUGUAAAGUUGGCCCGUUUAGAAGGCUUUACCCAAGUAAUAAGAGGAGUUAGGUCUGGUCAGUGUAAAGUUGGCCUGUUUAGAAGGCUUUAACGAAGUAAUAAGAGGAGUUAGGUCUGGUCAGUGUAAAGUUGGCCCGUUUAGAAGGCUUUACCCAAGUAAUAAGAGGAGUUAGGUCUGGUCAGUGUAAAGUUGGCCCGUUUAGAAGGCUUUACCCAAGUAAUAAGAGGAGUUAGGUCUGGUCAGUGUAAAGUUGGCCCGUUUAGAAGGCUUUACCCAAGUAAUAAGAGGAGUUAGGUCUGGUCAGUGUAAAGUUGGCCCGUUUAGAAGGCUUUACCCAAGUAAUAAGAGGAGUUAGGUCUGGUCAGUGUAAAGUUGGCCUGUUUAGAAGGCUUUACCCAAGUAAUAAGAAGAGUUAGGUCUGGUCAGUGUAAAGUUGGCCCGUUUGGCAGGCUUUAAUGAGAGAUUGCUCCCAAAAACAUCCCCCUUAGUUUUGUGUCCCCAAACCCAGAGAUCAGAAAAACCUGACUCUCUCCGCAGGCCCAAGCCUUCCUUAUUCCCCCUAUCCCCUAUCUGUCUAAUCACAGACGGACAAACAGACAUUCCCAGGUAAUUUGGUUACCAGCUGUAUUCCCAGGAAUCCCAGGAUUAUUACACAGUGACGUAGCUGAUCUAUUUUAGUAUACGUCCAGACCAGGGUCAUUUAAGUCUGACCCUACAAGGUCUGGAGCUCGUUUUCUGUUCUACCUGAUCAUUAAUUGCACCCUUCUGGUGUCCCAAGUCUAAAUCAGUUCAUGAUUAGAGAGGAACAAUGAAAAAAUGCAGUGGAACUGACUUCGAGGUCCAGAGUUGAGUUUGAAGAGUCUAGUGAGGUUUAUCAACAACAGACGGCACAGAGGCUUCUCUACACACACACUACAGUCUACAGUUCUCUACAGUCACAGACAGAGGCUUCUCUACAGUCACAGACAGAGGCUUCUCUACAGUCACAGACAGAGGCUGACAUUGACUACUUUCAUGAUGAGGAAGGGUGUUUUGGCACAAAGUGAGACUUGGGUGCAUGUUUCGUGAGUUGGAUGGUGGAGAGACUGAGAGAGAGAGAGAGAGAGAAAGGGAAAGAGAGAGAGAGAGAGAGAGAGA